UACGUAGGGGGCAAGCGUUGUCCGGAUUUAUUGGGCGUAAAGAGCGUGUAGGCGGCCAUACAGGUCAGCUGUGAAAACUCGAGGCUCAACCUCGAGACGUCGGUUGAAACCGUAUGGCUAGAGUCCGGAAGAGGAGAGUGGAAUCCCCGGUGUAGCGGUGAAAUGCGCAGAUAUCGGGAAGAACACCCGUGGCGAAGGCGGCUCUCUGGGACGGUACUGACGCUGAGACGCGAAAGCGUGGGGAGCGAACAGG
rnacentral:rRNA from 1 species